CGGAGAACAUCUGCGCUGUGUGUCGAUGCACCUUACGAGAGAAUAAGACCAGUAAGCAAGGCAACUGCAAUGAAGCAUCAAGAAAGACAUGAGCAGGCCAGCCACCCUGAGACUGAUAAUUCAUGAGAAGACAUUUCUGUCACUAACAAAGUGGAUGGUGAGCAAAGGUGGUGGCCACGUUUUGGAGCAGCACCUGGGUUUUGCAGAUGGCUAUGUAUUCUUUGGCUGCUUAUCUUUUUUCCCCAUUAUGUUUCUGUUGCCUAAAGAUUCUUUGUUAGGAUAAAUCCAGAUGAUACAACAUAAUGCACUGCAAAAUGUCCUAAGACAGGAGAAAUGAAGAUGCACUGUUCCAGCAUAGGAAGACUGUAUUUAUAAGUGUUAUACAUGCA